rnacentral:tRNA from 202 species
GGCCACGUGGCGGAGUGGUUACGCAACGGUCUGCAAAACCGUGUACACCAGUUCAAUUCUGGUCGUGGCCUCCA